rnacentral:lncRNA from 1 species
ACUCAGCAAGUUUGCAGUCUGUUUCAUGCAUCUCUUUCUCUACUGUGCCAUUAUCCUCUUCAACUGAUUCUGAUUGGUUCACAUUCUCUUUGAGUUCAUCCAAAGUUUCAGCAACUUCUAUUCUAUCCCCGUCCUCUUCAUGUGCAGGUACCUCCAGAGUUUCUUCUACAUCCUUGUCAUAUUCUGCAUGUCCAGUGGGCCCCUGUUUUUCGUUUAGGUCCUCACCGUCACCCUCCUCACAUAGGCUAUUAGUUGCCUCAAAAUUGCAGUCUAUUUCAUGCAUCUCUUUCUCUACUGUGCCAUUAUCCUUUUCAACUGAUUCUGACUGGUUCACAUUCUCUUUGAGUUCAUCCAAAGUUUCAGCAACUUCUAUUCUAUCCCCGUUCUCUUCAUGUGCAGGUACCUCUAGAGUUUCUUCUACAUCCUUGUCAUACUCCGCAUGUCCAGUGGACGCCUCUUUUUCGUUUAGGUCCUCACUGUCACCCUCCUCACAUAGGUUAUUAGUUGCCUCAAAAUUGCAGUCUGUUUCAUGCAUCUCUUUCUCUACCCUGCCAUUAUCCUCUUCAACUGAUUCUGACUGGUCCACAUUCUCUUUGAGUUCAUCCAAAGUUUCAGCAACUUCUAUUCUAUCCCCGUCCUCUUCAUGUGCAGGUACCUCCAGAGUUUCUUCUACAUCCUUGGCAUACUCUGCAUGUCCAGUGGACCGCUCUUUUUCACUUAGGUCCUCACUGUCACCCUCCUCACAUAGGUUAUUAGUUGCCUUAAAAUUGCAGUCUGUUUCAUGCAUCUCUUUCUCUACUGUGCCAUUAUCCUCUUCAACUGAUUCUGAAUGGUCCACAUUCUCUUUGAGUUCAUCCAAAGUUUCGGCAACUUCUAUUCUAUUCCCGUCCUCUUCAUGUGCAGGUACCUCCAGAGUUUCUUCUACAUCCUUGGCAUACUCUGCAUGACCAGUGGGCCCCUCUUUUUCAUUUAGGUCCUCACUGUCACCCUCUUCACAUAGGUUAUUAGUUGCCUCAAAAUUGCAGUCUGGGUUCUUUAGAUCCUCUCGAGCAUCUGUCACCUUCUCAUCCUCUGUACUCUGAUCAAUCAGUACUUCCGUUCUCCCAUCUACUACACGUGGAAACCUCUCUUGUUGUCUCUUCUCACAUUCUAUCUCUUGACUAGCGGCCCCUUCAGGUAUCAUCUCAGUUUCUCUUGUGUCGUCAAGCUUCUCAUGUCCUUUAGACUUGCUCUCAUUUCUCUUCUCAACAUAUUCCUCAUCGUUAGAGUCCUUAAAUGUCUCCUCAAUGAUGUUUUGCCUGUUGUCUUUGUUGAACCACCUCACAGUGUCUUCUUCCCUGUGGACAUGUUUUUGCUCCCUCUCAUCUUCUUCCUGCUUGUAAACCUCGUUGCCUAUCUUCUCAUAUCCAACCCGCUCUUGAGACAUCAAUUUCCGUUUCACAUGUCUGGUUUCCUGUAACUCUUGAGUUUCAUGUCUUCUGUUGUAUCCUUUUUGCUUCUCGAGCUCCCCUGGCUUCUCUUCAAGAAUUUCCUUCAAAUAGGAAACCUGAAGCUUCCCAGUUUCUUCAUGCUCUCUGGAAGCUUCCAGUCUAUUCUCAUUUUCUUCCUGAUCAAAAGCAUCUUUAACUGUUUCCAGUUCACUUGCAUGUUCUUCACACUUAGAUAACCCUACAUCCAGACUGAAUAUCUUCUCUAACUCCCCGUGUUCAUCGUAUUUAGCUGCUUGUAAUCUCUCGCCACAUAGUUCUGGAUUUUCAAAUGCUUCCAUGGUUGUCUUCUUCCUUUUCUGUUCCUCUUCAUCAGC